CCCAAGAGAUCGGGAUAACACCUGGAAACAGAUGCUAAUACCGGAUAACAACAGAUGAUGCCUAUCAACUGUUUAAAAGAUGGUUCUGCUAUCACUCUUGGAUGGACCUGCGAUGCAUUAGCUAGUUGGUAGGGUAACGGCCUACCAAGGCGAUGAUGCAUAGCCGAGUUGAGAGACUGAUCGGCCACAUUGGGACUGAGACACGGCCCAAACUCCUACGGGAGGCAGCAGGC
rnacentral:rRNA from 1 species